rnacentral:rRNA from 1 species
AUUGAACGCUGGCGGCAGGCUUAACACAUGCAAGUCGAGCGGGGGAAGGUAGCUUGCUACUGGACCUAGCGGCGGACGGGUGAGUAAUGCUUAGGAAUCUGCCUAUUAGUGGGGGUCAACAUCUCGAAAGGGAUGCUAAUAACGCAUACGUCCUACGGGAGAAAGCAGGGGAUCUUCGGACCUUGCGCUAAUAGAUGUGUCUAAGUCGGAUUAGCUAGUUGGGGGGGUAAAGGCCUACCAAGGCGACGAUCUGUAGCGGGUCUGAGAGGAUGAUCCGCCACACUGGGACUGAGACACGGCCCAGACUCCUACGGGAGGCAGCAGUGGGGAAUAUUGGACAAUGGGGGGAACCCUGAUCCAGCCAUGCCGCGUGUGUGAAGAAGGCCUUAUGGUUGUAAAGCACUUUAAGCGAGGAGGAGGCUACUUUAGUUAAUACCUAGAGAUAGUGGACGUUACUCGCAGAAUAAGCACCGGCUAACUCUGUGCCAGCCGCCGCAUAA